GAUGAACGCUGGCGGCGUGCCUAAUACAUGCAAGUCGAGCGAACGGACGAGAAGCUUGCUUCUCUGAUGUUAGCGGCGGACGGGUGAGUAACACGUGGAGAACCUACCUAUAAGACUGGGAUAACUUCGGGAAACCGGAGCUAAUACCGGAUAAUAUUUUGAACCGCAUGGUUCAAAAGUGAAAGACGGUCUUGCUGUCACUUAUAGAUGUAUCCGCGUUGCAUUAGCUAGUUGGUAAGGUAACGGCUUACCAAGGCAACGAUGCAUAGCCGACCUGAGAGGGUGAUCGGCAAAAUUGGAACUGAGACACGGUCAAGACUCCUAGGGGAGGAAGCAGUAGGGAAUCUUCCGCAAGGGGCGAAAGCCUGACGGGGCAAGGCCGCGUGAGUGAUGAAGGUCUUCGGAUCGUAAAACUCUGUUAUUAGGGAGGAACAUGUGUGUAAGUAACUGUGCACAUCUUGACGGUACCUAAUCAGAAAGCCACGGCUAACUACGUG
rnacentral:rRNA from 1 species